CUUCCUUGUUGACACUGACAGAAAGAUGCUCUUAUUGGUGAUACAAUGGAUUUUGCUUAUCGUAAAAGUUUCAGAAUGUGUGAUUAAUACAUGUGUUGGAAAUGACAUAACGCCAUCAAGAGUGGCGGAAAUGUGCCAAUCAACAAAAGUGGUGGAGAA